rnacentral:rRNA from 2 species
AUCUGAGCGUCUUAUUUUAAUAAGUCAAAACUUUCAACAACGGAUCUCUUGGUUCUGGCAUCGAUGAAGAACGCAGCGAAAUGCGAUAAGUAAUGUGAAUUGCAGAAUUCAGUGAAUCAUCGAAUCUUUGAACGCACAUUGCGCCCAUUAGUAUUCUAGUGGGCAUGCCUGUUCGAGCGUCAUUUCAACCCUUAAGCCUAGCUUAGU